rnacentral:rRNA from 1 species
AUGGAGGAUUCAGAAUCUGAAGUUACUGGAAACAUUUUGGGGGAUGUUGGUCCUGAGGGCACAGAAAAGGCUUCAUCUGUCCUCAUAACGGCAUUACGUUCAUUCAAAGAAGCUUUGAUUAAGGAUGGGGAAGCGAAUGUUGCAGAGAUAGAUGCCUUCCUACUUUGUGUUGACGCUGAGGAUGAGAAGAACUCUCUUGUGAGUAAAAUCACUGCUUUAGAUGAACUGUUGAUAACUGUGAGAGAUCGUGUCUUGAGGGUAGGUGCAGACUCUGGAUUCUAUGGACGGAAGACAGAAACAGAGAGCUGGUGGGAAGUGUGGAAGGGGAAGUUACGGAGAGCUUUCUUCUUCGCUAGCUGA